AUUGAACGCUGGCGGCAGUCCCAACACAUGCAAGUCGAGCGGAUGAAGGGAGCUUGCUCCUGGAUUCAGCGGCGGACGGGUGAGUAAUGCCUAGGAAUCUGCCUGGUAGUGGGGGAUAACGUCCGGAAACGGGCGCUAAUACCGCAUACGUCCUGAGGGAGAAAGUGGGGGAUCUUCGGACCUCACGCUAUCAGAUGAGCCUAGGUCGGAUUAGCUAGUUGGUGGGGUAAAGGCCUACCAAGGCGACGAUCCGUAACUGGUCUGAGAGGAUGAUCAGUCACACUGGAACUGAGACACGGUCCAGACUCCUACGGGAGGCAGCAGUGGGGAAUAUUGGACAAUGGGCGAAAGCCUGAUCCAGCCAUGCCGCGUGUGUGAAGAAGGUCUUCGGAUUGUAAAGCACUUUAAGUUGGGAGGAAGGGCAGUAAGUUAAUACCUUGCUGUUUUGACGUUACCAACAGAAUAAGCACCGGCUAACUUCGUG
rnacentral:rRNA from 1 species